rnacentral:rRNA from 1 species
UUGACCUCGGAUCAGGUAGGGAUACCCGCUGAACUUAAGCAUAUCAAUAAGCGGAGGAAAAGAAACCAACAGGGAUUGCCCUAGUAACGGCGAGUGAAGCGGCAACAGCUCAAAUUUGAAAUCUGGCGUCUUUGGCGUCCGAGUUGUAAUUUGCAGAGGGCGCUUUGGCAUUGGCAGCGGUCCAAGUUCCUUGGAACAGGACGUCACAGAGGGUGAGAAUCCCGUACGUGGUCGCUAGCCUUUACCGUGUAAAGCCCCUUCGACGAGUCGAGUUGUUUGGGAAUGCAGCUCUAAAUGGGAGGUAAAUUUCUUCUAAAGCUAAAUACUGGCCAGAGACCGAUAGCGCACAAGUAGAGUGAUCGAAAGAUGAAAAGCACUUUGGAAAGAGAGUUAAAAAGCACGUGAAAUUGUUGAAAGGGAAGCGCUUGCAGCCAGACUUGCCUGUAGUUGCUCAUCCGGGUUUUUACCCGGUGCACUCUUCUACGGGCAGGCCAGCAUCAGUUUGGGCGGUUGGAUAAAGGUCUCUGUCAUGUACCUCCUCUCGGGGAGAACUUAUAGGGGAGACGACAUGCAACC